CCUACGGGUGGCAGCAGUGAGGAAUAUUGGUCAAUGGACGAGAGUCUGACCCAGCCAAGUAGCGUGAAGGAUGACUGCCCUAUGGGUUGUAAACUUCUUUUAUAUGGGAAUAAAAUGUUCCACGUGUGGGAUUUUGUAUGUACCAUAUGAAUAAGGAUCGGCUAAGUCCGUUCCAGCAGCCGCGGUAAUACGGAGGAUCCGAGCGUUAUCCGGAUUUAUUGGGUUUAAAGGGAGCGUAGGUGGAAUGUUAAGUCAGUUGUGAAAGUUUGCGGCUCAACCGUAAAAUUGCAGUUGAAACUGGCAGUCUGGAGUACAGUAGAGGUGAGCGGAAUUCGAGGUGUAGCGGUGAAAUGCUUAGAUAUCACGAAGAACUCCGAUUGCGAAGGCAGCUCACUGGACUGCAACUGACACUGAGGCGCGAAAGUGUGGGUAUCAAACAGGAUUAGAUACCCCAGUAGUC
rnacentral:rRNA from 1 species